rnacentral:rRNA from 2 species
UCUUCCGCAAUGGACGAAAGUCUGACGGAGCAACGCCGCGUGAACGAAGAAGGCCUUCGGGUCGUAAAGUUCUGUUGUUAGGGAAGAACAAGUACCAGAGUAACUGCUGGUACCUUGACGGUACCUAACCAGAAAGCCACGGCUAACUACGUGCCAGCAGCCGCGGUAAUACGUAGGUGGCAAGCGUUGUCCGGAAUUAUUGGGCGUAAAGCGCGCGCAGGUGGUUCUUUAAGUCUGAUGUGAAAGCCCACGGCUCAACCGUGGAGGGUCAUUGGAAACUGGGGAACUUGAGUGCAGAAGAGGAAAGUGGAAUUCCAAGUGUAGCGGUGAAAUGCGUAGAGAUUUGGAGGAACACCAGUGGCGAAGGCGACUUUCUGGUCUGUAACUGACACUGAGGCGCGAAAGCGUGGGGAGCAAACAGGAUUAGAUACCCUGGUAGUCCACGCCGUAAACGAUGAGUGCUAAGUGUUAGAGGGUUUCCGCCCUUUAGUGCUGCAGCUAACGCAUUAAGCACUCCGCCUGGGGAGUACGGCCGCAAGGCUGAAACUCAAAGGAAUUGACGGGGGCCCGCACAAGCGGUGGAGCAUGUGGUUUAUUUCGAAGCAACGCGAAGAACCUUACCAGGUCUUGACAUCCUCUGACAACCCUAGAGAUAGGG